AUACGUAGGGUGCAAGCGUUAAUCGGAAUUACUGGGCGUAAAGCGUGCGCAGGCGGUUUUGUAAGACAGUGGUGAAAUCCCCGGGCUCAACCUGGGAACUGCCUUUGUGACUGCAAGGCUAGAGUACGGCAGAGGGGGAUGGAAUUCCGCGUGUAGCAGUGAAAUGCGUAGAUAUGCGGAGGAACACCGAUGGCGAAGGCAAGCCCCGGGGCCUGUACUGACGCUCAUGCACGAAAGCGUGGGGAGCAAACAGGAUUAGAUACCCUGGUAGUCCACGCCCUAAACGAUGUCAACUGGUUGUUGGGGAUUUAUUUUCUCAGUAACGAAGCUAACGCGUGAAGUUGACCGCCUGGGGAGUACGGCCGCAAGGUUAAAACUCAAAGGAAUUGACGGGG
rnacentral:rRNA from 1 species